UACGAAGGGGGCUAGCGUUGCUCGGAAUCACUGGGCGUAAAGCGCACGUAGGCGGCUUUCUAAGUCAGGGGUGAAAUCCUGGAGCUCAACUCCAGAACUGCCUUUGAUACUGGAGAGCUCGAGUCCGGAAGAGGUGAGUGGAACUGCGAGUGUAGAGGUGAAAUUCGUAGAUAUUCGCAAGAACACCAGUGGCGAAGGCGGCUCACUGGCCCGAUACUGACGCUGAGGCACGAAAGCGUGGGGAGCGAACAGG
rnacentral:rRNA from 1 species